rnacentral:piRNA from 1 species
UGGCCAUUACACAGCGGUUUCUAUGAUGC